CCAAAGCAAGGUUUCUCAAACAACUGUGGGGUGUUUGUUUUGAUGGAAAACAUGCAGCAAAUUAGGCGAUGGUGGUGCCUAGUUCUCCUGCAGAACUUUCCCACGCCGUCUGAAGAAGAGAGGUUGAAAGAUCGAAAAAGGCAGCGAAAACAAAACACAC